UACGAAGGGGGCUAGCGUUGCUCGGAAUCACUGGGCGUAAAGCGCACGUAGGCGGAUUGUUAAGUCAGGGGUGAAAUCCUGGAGCUCAACUCCAGAACUGCCUUGAUACUGGCGAUCUCGAGUCCGGGAGAGGUGAGUGGAACUGCGAGUGUAGAGGUGAAAUUCGUAGAUAUUCGCAAGAACACCAGUGGCGAAGGCGGACUCACUGGCCCGGUACUGACGCUGAGGUGCGAAAGCGUGGGAGC
rnacentral:rRNA from 1 species